AACGAACGCUGGCGGCAGGCUUAACACAUGCAAGUCGAACGGUUGUAGCAAUACAGCAGUGGCAGACGGGUGAGUAACACGUGGGAACCUUCCUAGGGGUACGGAACAACUCAGGGAAACUUGAGCUAAUACCGUAUACGUCCGUGAGGAGAAAGUUUUAACGCCCUAGACGGCCGCGUAGGAUUAGGUAGUUGGUGAGGUAACGGCUCACCAAGCCUACGAUCCUUAGCUGAUCUGAGAGGANGAUCAGCCACACUGGGACUGAGACACGGCCCAGACUCCUACGGGAGGCAGCAGUGGGGAAUCCUGGACAAUGGGCGGCAAGCCUGAUCCAGCCAUGCCGCGUGAGUG
rnacentral:rRNA from 1 species